ensembl:lncRNA
UUUUCGUUUCCAGUUUUAUUUUUAUCAAAACAGAAUAAUUUAACCAUACAAAGAAGGAAAUACAUUUAAACAAACAACUAAGAAGCCAAUGGCUUCGUAAUUGUGAACAAUCCAUGGUGUAGUAAGUUCUGAGGAGCUGACUGCAUAUAGAAGGUAAUGAGNNNNNNNNNNNNNNNNNNNNNNNNNNNNNNNUUUCCCUAGGGUUCCAAGUGAUAGAAGCUGAUCAUUUUCCUUGGCUUGGCUCCUUCCAAUGGUGAAGGAAUAUGCGCAAUGUCUCUAUGUUUCUUCAGAUUGAUUUAUGUGUAUUCCCACACAAGGAGAAAGCAGGGGUAAAAAGAAUUGUACAGUACCCAAAUCUAGCACAUGGGAUUUGGGGGGGGGGGGCUGACACCUAUAUUUAAGGAGUAUCUGAAAGACAGGGAUGAGAAAGUGUGCUUACAUAUUGAGAAAUGUAGUGUUUCAAAAGCCAAAAGAGUCCCCCUCACAAGAGUUAUGAGACUCACACCUGAAGUGAGAAAAUACGCCAGCCUUGUUUCCUGCAGUUGUAGAAAUAUGUUCGCCAUAGAGCCAGGCAGACCAUUUUUCUCCUCGCCAUAUUAAAUUAUGUCUGGGCAUUUGAGCAACAGCACAUUCCGAUAAUGAUGACAGUUUCCAUAACUAUAAAAAUCUGCUGCACCAGGCAAAUUUUGUGCAAAAUGCAAAUUUCUAUGCUGGGGAAAAAAAUGAAUAAUGUGAUCAUUCUAAGUAAUGAAUGUAAAUGCAAGGAAAUACGUUUUGGCAUGAGGCUGCAAAUCGCUCAUCUGUCAUGCCAAGAGUUGUGGUCACAAUGCAUUUUUCCAAGGCUCCUCUUCCCAUCUGAGAUUCAGAGGAGGGAUUUUAGGAAGUGGAGCCUUAACUUGCCCUCAGUUACCCACCAUGCUAUUGACAGGUUUUGAUCUGAAUCCAGAAGCACCAAUCCCCUGUCUUUUUUCAGUCUCUUGGCAAAUGAACCCUAGGUUCUCCAGGUUGUGAAAUAAAGGGAUGCUAGCUUCAGCCAGACUCUCAAAGGUCAUAUGUAGCAAGAGGCAUGCGUUGUUUCCACCAUGCUUUAGAACAUGGAGGAUUCAGGCUGCCCAUCAGAAACACGUGACAUUAAGUACCCCUUAUCAGUUAUGGGGGCCAAUGGGGGACAUGACACCUCCUUGCUCUCUGCUUCUUCAACAAGUGAGAUCUGGCCAGGUGUAGGUAUAGCUGGGGAGAGAAACCUAAGCAUCAUGGUUUGUGGCAUUUGUAUACCUUGCCCUGAGAGAACAGCAAAGAAUUUGAAGUGGACCGUUUCUUGGUCCUGUCAGCAUCCUCUUUAGAAGAAGCUGAGCUACCCAUCAGCCAAGACCCUCGCCUGAAGGUACAGUGAAGUUGACAGCACUGGGGAGAACGGGGAAUCCCUUAUCUUUAAACUCUAAUUUACCCUGUUCUAAAAUAAAUUUGUUUUCCCUUAAUAGUGGCAUGGUACACACUUACGGAGUAACUGCAGCAAAUGGUCAUGGAUAAUACUGAAUUAAAAUUUCAUUUUAAAUAACCUAAACUUGGUUAUAGAUCACUGAUAUUAUCCUUAAAAGGUACCCCUAU